CCAAAAUACACAACAGCAAUGAAGGAAAGGGGUGGGAGGGGUGGGAGUUAAACAACACACUGACUUGUGUAUCACAGUGAAGGGAAACAGUCAGCUGGGCUGGAGAGAAGGAGUAGAGUGGGCAAAGGCAUGGGUGGUCCAUGGACAUCAUUGUAUAAGUCAGGGCACCCCUGUACAAUCAGCACACUGUCACUAGACAGUACAACUGACACUGUUUUAAAUGUGAGCCCACUGCCGUCACAUGGAAUCAUCGUCUUCUGCCAUGGAUGUUCUCUUUGUAGUUAUUGAAACUUAUAUAUGCUGCCUGGACUACAGAAUUACAAAUAGAGUAAUUCUCAUACUUUAUAUUCUUUCAUCAAUUUAAUGAAUUAUUUAAUUCUUUUUCAGUGUUAAAGGAAGUUAGAGCCAACUCUGAAAACAUCAAGGGACCAUAGGUGUGGGAAAGGAGUAUAAAAAGAACAGAGCCAACAAUAAGCAUCUGGGUAUCAACAAUCAAUCAUGUUAAUAACACGCUUGGAGAGAAGCAAAGUACGCUCCUGGGGCUGAAAGGUUGCCACGGUGGAAGACGAGUGAUGAGAUGAAGCACAUAGCAGGAUUACUUUUAAAACAGCUGAAACUCACAAAAAUGGCUUUUUUCUUUCAUUAAACAACAUGGAUAUUGUGUUUUACAUUAUGCAAGUAAUCUCAAGAUGCAGAUCAAUACUCGAUAACAAACUAGACUUGAAAAAUGUACAUAUUCAAUUAGUUUAAGUUAAAAUUUGGACCUCAAUACCCUUCACCACCAUUUUAAAGUACAAAAGCAGGGUAGGAAUUCAUUAAUAUUUAUAAAAAAAUACACCAUGAUUCUGAAGAAAUAAUUCCAACCUGAAAAAUAUCAAACAUAUAUUUAAUGAUAGAUAGAUAGAUAGAUAGAUAGAUAUUAAAUACACAGCAUAAAAUAAAGGUCACAGUUUGGUUUGAAUGGGAAACUGCAUCAUUACGUGAGUCCACACAUAUUAAUACUCUUAAAUAUAUGUACACAAAAACUGCAAAAAGUACACUAUAGCCUAAGCAGUAAACUAAAAUUAAAUACUCCUAAAACAAAUACGUUUGUAAGUUCUACUUAUGUGAUUGUGUCAAAAAUUUAAAUAUUGCAAUAUAUUAAGACGAUUGCGGUAGUUCUAUUACUUAUAGAAUACAGCUACAUGUGAUCUUGUUUCCUCAACAAACCACCUCCUAAUUUAAUAAAAUCUUAGGUUGUUUUGUAUUUCUUACUCUGCCAUUUUUUUAAAUUAAAUUAUUGUUUAUCU